GAAGAUCGUUUGAAGUUGUUGCGGCCAUGAGGCUGAUGCAAAGGAGAGGAGGCGCUGAACGAUGUCGAGUCAAAAGGCAAUAUCACAAUAAAAAAUAAAUAAAAUAAAAAAAAAAAAACUUCACAAGUUUCGUUAUCUGGAAUGGAUCGAAGGGAGCAGAAGAAGCAUGCUGCUAGAAUGAACUGGAGCUCCGUGAGGAGAUGCGUAAGAAGGACGAAUUAGAGAGGCUGCUAUUGAAGCAGCUGCUUUUAAUAAGAAGGAACUAGAUUCUGACAAAUAUGAAACUUUUGACAGACAUGAUCAUAGUAUAUCCUAAUAAGAGAUCAAGGAGUGGAAUAAGUUUAUUCAAUGCUGAAAAAAAAAUCAGUGUUUACGCACCAAGGGAAAAUUUACCAAAAUUUGGAGUCAACCCUGUAUACAUAUUUAAUGGGCAAAGGAGGACAGUGAAAAGCCAAGAACAUGGGAAGCAAAGAAAGAUAAUUAACAGCAAAGCACAAAGAAAAUCUUUCCGUUUGAUUCAGUCUCGGAAUUGGAACUCCGUGGGUUUUUUUUUUUUUUUUUUUUUUUGGCGAUAAGCCACUGGCGUAUGAUACCAUGUAGAGAGUUUAGGGAGAAGUAAUUUUCUUGUAUU
rnacentral:lncRNA from 1 species